UGGGGAAUCUUGCACAAUGGGGGCAACCCUGAUGCAGCGACGCCGCGUGAGCGAUGAAGCCCUUCGGGGCGUAAAGCUCUUUCGACCGGAACGAUAAUGACGGUACCGGGAGAAGAAGCUGCGGCUAACUACGUGCCAGCAGCCGCGGUAAUACGUAGGCAGCAAGCGUUGUUCGGAGUUACUGGGCGUAAAGAGUGCGUAGACGGUUUUCUAAGUUCGGUGUGAAAUCUCCCGGCUUAACUGGGAGGGUGCGCCGAAGACUGGGAAGCUGGAGUGUGGGAAAGGCAGGCGGAAUUCCUGGUGUAGCGGUGAAAAGCGUAGAUAUCAGGAGGAACACCGGCGGUGUAGACGGCUUGCUAGACCAUAACUGACGCUGAGGCACGAAAGCGUGGGUAGCAAACA
rnacentral:rRNA from 1 species